CCAUAGCUCAGUGGUAGAGCAUGUGCUCUCUAUGCAGGAGGUGCAAGGUUCAAUCCAUGGCAUCUGGA